rnacentral:lncRNA from 1 species
UCAGCUGAAAAGCUUCAGCAAUGUCCCGUUAACGCAGAGCUAUUUGUUGAUAUGAUGAAAAGUUGUUUGGAGAACAUUGGUAGCGUGCUUGAAAGACAAUACAAAAAGCACUUCAUCACAAUCACUGAGCAACUUAGGAAAGAAACAGCGUCAGCAUCUCUCCAUAACAUUGAUGCAGAGGAAGUAAUACGCAUGUUUGGUGCUGCUAAGGAUCACGCACCAAGUGCAACAAUGAGCUACAUGUAUUUGUCAUCCAAAAUUAGAGCCUAGAAGAACAACAGUGUAUCUUGACAACCUGGAAGAAAAGAAAAAAAACCAAAUUGAUUAAGCUGGCUGUGACCUUGGGAAGGAAACAAAAAGAAAACACAUGAAAAAGAGGUACAGAAAUCAGGGUCGAAAUAUCUAAACGGAUAGCUGUUAAGCUAGAAAUGAAGGGAAAAAGAUUGAACGAAAGCUAAAGACCCCAAUUCUAGACUUGGUAUAUGACUUUCCUGAGUUGGAUGCAAGUGUCCAGCAAAAUGUUCAAGAUAUUCUAACAGGGGAAUUUGUUGGCCGCAGGAUCUUGCAUAUUUGGUAUGAUGAAGACAGUGGAAGCAAAAACUGUAUAUCAAUGCCAAAUUGAAAAGCUCCAGAAGAAGCUAGGAGGGACAUACGUUAUUUCAUACUGGAAUGAUGCUGCAAGCGAUACCUACGAUGAUGCAGUGGAAUACGACAUCACAAAAUACGCCCUUGCCGCUGACCUUAUCACUGAGGAUGUGAUACUACACUAAAACCUCCAUACCAAGUACAGGUUCAGCAUAUUAUCACCCUUAAGCUGGUUCUCCGGGCAAUUCAAAACCAAACCAGUAUGCUUCAAGCUCCAACAAAUAAUCACCAUAAUGAGGAGACAACAGUGAUGGGUUCCCUGAAACCAGAAAACUUGUCACCAAGAGCUUCUCAAUAAGCACCAGGAGACUUCAUCAUGGUAAGUGUAGCACAACCCUGACAGAAUGCUGGAACAUGCCUCAUGGAUAAGAACUUGAGUUUCUCCUGCGUCUACCCUAAUGGCUGCAUCAGAGCGACCUACAUAAGAGGAACUACUGUCAGCACGGUCUGCAUCGUUCAUGGGCACAUGUGUAAUGCGUGAACGGAUGGCUGUUGUAGACCAGCCACCGAGUACCUGGAGGCAGUACGGGCAGUGCUGAUGUGGAAACGCUUGCUGGUUAUCACUACAAAGUUCUCAACACAUCCAUUAAAGCUUCAUGUUAGAAAGGGAUACUAGCAUGACUGAAGAAAUGACUGAAGGAAAACUUGCCAACCUUUUUUCAUUUGGGGGAUUUGACUUCAACUGAAAACUACCCUAAAGAAACUCACCCACGACUGUACAGUACGUUUCACAGCAUGCCUUGGACUUCAUGGACGAGUGAUCUCACUGUCUCUUCCAGGGCAGCUCCUUGAAAGAACUGAUCAUCAGUUUCAUGGGAGAUUAGGCUGGUUCCGGAUGUAUGCGCAGUUAUCAAGGAUGUUGUCAAGACACCACCUCUGACUGUAACUCUUGGUAUGAAGAUCUGUUGUUCUUUUUGUGAGUUUCAUUGUUUAUUUAUUGAAAAAAUUUUAGACUGUACUUCAGAAUUUUCUGUCAGUCUAUUUUUAAGUCAGCCUUUUCAAAGUACCUUGCAUGGUGAAUUUACAAAAUAUCAAUGUGACUGAAUGUAAACUCCUGUUGAAAUUAUUUCAGUCUCAAAGAAAAUAUUUAGUAUUCAAAGAAUUUGAAUUUUUUGCUCACCCUAAAAACAUUUCCAUUUCCCAAAGUUUGUGAGAUAAUGUAAGCCUCUCAUGUUCUUUUUGGCUCAGUUCCAUGUAUCAAGUUUACUUGCUAACAACUAAUGAUCAUGCACUUUUUUUUAAAGGGCCAAGGAAUUUUCUGACAUUGACAACUACAGUAGUUCAGCUGUAAGUUGAACUGAGUAGUGUCAUUGAUACAUAUGCUUUACCUUUUUUCUAUAGUUUGAACCGAAUAUGUGUCAUCCUUGACCUGAAGUGGUUUUGACAAGCACAGCAUAGAUAUUGAACUAACUUGAGCAGAGAAAAAUUGGUGAUGCUUGCUAUGAUGGACACGAUCAGAAGGUUGAUACAACAGUAAUCUUUGGGAAUUGUCAGGUUACCUGAAGCCUGCCCUGGGAAUGCAACCCAGUAGCCUAAUCAGUGUGAUGGUGCUUCCGAUGUGGAGGGUGCUGAUAUGGGGUGCUCGCCAUCGCUUGAGUCUUGUAAUUUUGGUCACAUUUUAUCUUCAUUCAUCUCUUUUAAAAACUGAUUAACCACUUCAUGCCGGGGCAUUUUUCAAUGUUGAUGAUGCUGGGCUGGCAUGACUAUCAUUUUUUCCAUUU